rnacentral:Y_RNA from 1 species
GCCUGGUUUGAGUUUAGUGCUGUUUACAACUAAAUGAUCCCAGCCAGUUACAGAUUUCUUUGUUCCUUCUCCACUUGCACUGCUUCCCUUGACUAGCCUUAA